rnacentral:rRNA from 1 species
UACGGAAGGUCCGGGCGUUAUCCGGAUUUAUUGGGUUUAAAGGGAGCGUAGGCGGCAUGUUAAGCGUGCUGUGAAAUGCGUCGGCUCAACCGCCGCAGUGCAGCGCGAACUGGCUUGCUUGAGUUCGCUGAAGGAAGGCGGAAUUCGUGGUGUAGCGGUGAAAUGCUUAGAUAUCACGAAGAACCCCGAUUGCGAAGGCAGCUUUCCGUAGCGUUACUGACGCUGAAGCUCGAAGGUGCGGGUAU